rnacentral:rRNA from 1 species
GAUGAACGCUGGCGGCGUGCCUAAUACAUGCAAGUCGAGCGAACGGACGAGAAGCUUGCUUCUCUGAUGUUAGCGGCGGACGGGUGAGUAACACGUGGAUAACCUACCUAUAAGACUGGGAUAACUUCGGGAAACCGUAGCUAAUACCGGAUAAUAUUUUGAACCGCAUGGUUCAAAAGUGAAAGACGGUCUUGCUGUCACUUAUAGAUGGAUCCGCGCUGCAUUAGCUAGUUGGUAAGGUAACGGCUUACCAAGGCAACGAUGCAUAGCCGACCUGAGAGGGUGAUCGGCCACACUGGAACUGAGACACGGUCCAGACUCCUACGGGAGGCAGCAGUAGGGAAUCUUCCGCAAUGGGCGAAAGCCUGACGGAGCAACGCCGCGUGAGUGAUGAAGGUCUUCGGAUCGUAAAACUCUGUUAUUAGGGAAGAACAUAUGUGUAAGUAACUGUGCACAUCUUGACGGUACCUAAUCAGCAAGCCACGGCUAACUACGUG